AUCUAGUUGACGAGUUGAAAGUGGUACGAAACGCACGUCCUGGAU
rnacentral:hammerhead_ribozyme from 1 species